rnacentral:rRNA from 1 species
UGGCAAAAUAUUGAGUAACAUAUGACCUCCGAACGGUAAAGGCUACGACAAACCUUCACUCGGAGCGAACCGACGUCUUCGUCAUGGCGGCUUUGCCGCACAGCACCAAACAUUUUGAGCGUUAGUUAUGGCAUGUAUUUUAUAUUAUUAAAAUUAUUUUUGACAUAAGCGGUGAGUAUCAGUGACGCGAAAAGGGACUUUGAGCUGGAAUACCAUUAAUUAGCUUACAAUGCACAGAAACAAAACGGCCCCACUCUGCAAAUUCGCUAACUAUGAUAGGUGAAACCGCUUGGAGUACGUCGUGAAACCGCUUGGAGUAAAACGCGUGGGCCCUCGAAGCUCGAGGGCGGUGGGAUUCAGUUUCGCUGUAACGUGGAGCGGUGUCAGCGUCUUGGUUUACGGGCUCUCCUUGUGGCGGCCCGUUCUGGCUGCCCGCGCGGUGCCGCGCACUACGAAACGCAUUUUCCACUGUCGGUAGGACGCCGCGACGGGCACGGGUAAUCCUUUCAAGAACGACUUUGAGUCCGGCCGCUGGAGGUGACCGGCGACGGCCCUUGUUUGGCUGUCGUGGGAGUUAUACCUGGCCGGUAAUCGAGUACGUCACCCUGCCCAGGCCUCAUGGGCUACUCCCUUCGGGGAGGCCCGAAACGAUGCGAGGCCCGAAAUCGAUCGUCCGACCCAGGUGUAGAGGCGAAAGACUAAUCGAACCAUCUAGUAGCUGGUUCCCUCCGAAGUUUCUCUCAGGAUAGCUGGCGCUUGUUGCCGAGACCAGUCACACCUGGUAAAGCGAAUGAUUAGAGGCAUUGGGGUCGAAACGACCUCAACCUAUUCUCAAACUUUCAAUGGGUGUGUCGGAGGCCUUCAGGUCUGAGGCCUCCGGAAGCGAUGAGAGCGCCAAGUGGGCCACUUUUGGUAAGCAGAACUGGCGCUGUGGGAUGAACCAAACGCCGGAGUAAGGCGCCCGAUGCGGGACGCUCAUGAGAUCCCAUGAAGGGUGUUGGUUGCUUAAGACAGCAGGACGGUGGCCAUGGAAGUCGGAACCCGCUUAGGAGUGUGUAACAACGCACUUGCCGAAGCAACUAGCCCCGAAAAUGGAUGACGCUCAUGUGUCGAGCCUAUCCCCGGCCGCUGCCGGCAGAUGCACGCAAACAAGGGGGUGUAAGCUGCAGCGAGUAGGAGGGCCGCUGCGGCGAGCGUUGAACGUGUCGGGCGUAAGCCCGUCUGGAGCCGCCGCUGGUGCAGAUCUUGGUGGUAGUAGCAAAUACUCAAGUGAGAACCUUGAGGACUGAAGUGGAGAGGGGUUCCAUGUGAACAGCAGUUGAACAUGGGUGAGUCGGUCCUAAGGGAAAGGAGAAGUUCUUUCCGAAGCCGGAGCACUUUUUUUGCAGUGGAGAGAGCCCCGCAGUGACCGAAAGGGAAUCGGGUUAAUAAUCCCGAACCCGGACACGGAGAUUGGUCCUUCGGGGCCCAGUGCGGUAACGCAAACCAGCUCAGAGACGCCGAUUCGAGCCCCGAGAAGAGUUUUCUUUUCUCUGUAGGGAGAUCGAGUCCCUGGAAUGGGUUCGCCCCGAGAUAGAGAUGGUGGCUCCGUAGAGCAGUGCGGUUCUUUCUCUGUCCGGUGCGCUCGCGUCGGCCCUUGAAAAUCCGAGUGAGGGAGUAUGAUUUUCGUGCCACACCGUACCCACAUCCGCAGCUGGUCUCCAAGGUGAACAGCCUCUAGAGUCUAGUCGAUGGACCAAUGUAGGUAAGGGAAGUCGGCAAAACGGAUCCGCAACCUUGGGAUAAGGAUUGGCUCUGAGGACUGAGUCGGUCGGGCUGGGGACCUGAAGCAGGAACGGCACUGUACCGAGACUGGGCGGGGCUCGCCGUUCACGCGGCGCGGCCAAGCCCGAACCAGCGUCGGGAUUUUUCUGUGGAAAGCCUCAGCUGCGCGGCGUCUGAGGGCUUCGUGCCCAAAGUGCUAUGCUUCGGCCGGCAAAAAACAGUCAACUCAGAACUGGCACGGACCGGGGGAAUCCGACUGUCUAAUUAAAACAAAGCAUUGCGAUGGCCGCUGGUCGGUGUUGGCGCAAUGUGAUUUCUGCCCAGUGCUCUGAAUGUCAACAUGAAGAGAUUCAUCAAAGCGCGGGUAAACGGCGAGAGUAACUAUGACUCUCUUGUCAUAGUUACUCCCGCCAUCAAAGGUGCCAUCAAAGGACAGGAAGGUGAAGGUGGACACCUCGGAAAGUUUUACGGUGGGAUGCGUCGCGUUACCAACGAGCGACACCGCCUCGGUGUGGAAAUACCUGGGCCUCCAGUUUACGGCAAUGGGUAGAAGGGCCAUGCCGUUGGAGAGACAGCUAGCCGAGCUCCUGGGUAGGGUCUCGAAGACCCCUUUAAAACCUCCACAGAGGCUUGUGAUCUUGAAGUUUUACCUCAUUCCGCGCCUCUUACAUAGGUUGGUCUUAGGACCUUGAUCGCAGAACCUUUUGCUCCGACUAGACAAGAUGGUCAGAGCCGCAAUGAGAAGGUGGCUGGCACUGCCACACGAUGCUCCGAUGGCAUACUUUCAUGCCGAGGUCUCCGAGGGUGGGUUGGACGUCCC